CGGAGAUCGACGAUGGGCAGAUGGUGCGCUAACCCGGCCAGGUCCGGAAGGAAGCAGCCGUAACGAUUACCUUUCUGGGUCAUUGGCCGGUCUCCACCU
rnacentral:SRP_RNA from 1 species